rnacentral:lncRNA from 1 species
AUUUUAAUACGUUUGAAAUGUACAGUACAGAACUUUGACAAGUGUAUCUGUGUAAACAUCACCUCCUUUCAGGUAACCUUCCUACCCACGAUGGCUGGUUCCAAGCAGAUCAGAUCCAAUUUCACACAGCACCAAAGAGGUGGCCCUCCUCUGCUGCUGCUUCGGCGUGACUGAUUUACCCAUUGUUGGUUACCUGUAGUCAGACUUUACUACUUAAUAGGAAGGACAGAGCAACAUUUGACAAUUUAUCAAGGGCUUUAAAACUACAUUUUAAUCCAGUUCCUCUAGCUAAAAAUGAAAUGCACAAGUGACAAGAGGCUGCUAAGGUUUUCAUUCCAGUUUAGGCAAGAGUAUGGUAGCAAAGGCUAUGCGUGCUUAUUGGGACACAAAUGUAUUAAUCCCCAGCUGCAAGGUAGUAAACUGGUAAUUUUCUGGGGGAAGUGAACAUUGUAAUUGAUAAUCCCAGUGACAUGUAAGCCCUGAACACAUUUGACUACUAAUCCCUAAACUCCUAGAAUACUCUGGCACACACACGAGCUGCUUAAAUCUUCAGAUUCUCCCUACCCCUUUUUCAAAUGUAAAAGAAAAAAACAGCAAUCUUGCUUUCCACCUCUUCUCAGUCUCAGGCUAUGACUUGAUUCAGUGAGUCUGUGGAACAAAUACUGUGGCAACAAAGAUGGAGAACACUCAGCCCAAGAACCUAGGACAAACACCUUCAAGCAGCAUUGCCUCAACAGAGUACUUUGUAAGUAGACCCUUAGUACAGAUGAGGCUUUCAACAGCUCUUGGGAAUUUCACAGCAUCAAAAUAUGACGGCUGGAAUUGGUAGCAUACUUAUAAUCUCAGCAACUCAGAGGCUGAGAGGCACAAGGAUCAGGUUCAAGGCCAACCUAGAAAACAAGACUUUGUCUCAAAAAUGAAAAUGGGGGGGCCAGGGAUUUAGCUCAGUGGUUCCGGUGCCUGCUUUGCAAGCACAAGGUCCCGAGUUCGAUCCCUGGUACCAAAAAUAAAAAAUAAAAAAAAAUGGGGCUAAGAAGAUGGAGACAGCUCAGCACUCACUGAAUUCAAUCCCUAAUACCAAAAUAAAUACUAGCUUAAUCAGGAUACAUUUUGGGGUGUGAGGCUUGUUUAAAUGUCUAGGUAAGAGGUGACAUGUCUUACUGAAGAUAAGUUCUGUAUUUUAGAAAUACAGGGUUAAAGGUAACAAGACUGAGGCAAGUUACAGGCAGUUCUUCAGUAAAGAAUUAGUUGCUCCCUAACUCAGCAGUCAAAACCAGGUAGUAGCUUCUACAAAGUGUUGGGAUACCACUAUAAACCUCAUGAUACUGUACCAAUCAUUUGCAUGAUCCAGCUUAAAAUAUCCUGAUCUGCUGAUUUAGCCCGUCUCUCUAGCAAAACUGAACUGAGACUUCUCACCCAGGAUUUAUCCUUAUAUUCAAAGGAUUUGAUUAUGAAGAGAAGCUUCUGACUCCAGCCAACCAGUGCACCUUUUGCGCUCUUAAAUCUUUUCCCUUGCUUUUCCAAAGGGUCGAAAAUAAAAUCAUAGCCUGCUAACCUAGAACACAGUAGUUAAGCAAUGCUCCCAAAUGUAGUCUAUAAAUACCACUCUUUUAAAAAAGGAGCCAGGGCUCCUUAGAGAAAUACUCAGUCUAAGAAAAUGACCAAGUUUAAGCUGGAACAUCCUGUCUUUCUACAGAAAGCGAGUGAGGGAUCAGACCAAGACCUGUUGACAGUACAAGAUGCUUGAAAGAGGAUUCCAGUCAAAAAGAAUGUGUUUAGCACCAAAAAUUGAUAGAAUGACUUUGGACAAAUACAAAAAAAUAAAAAUCUCAUUUGGAAUACACUGGAUCCUUUCAGAGGUUGCUAAGAUGUCACCUCAUCCUGAAAAUUGGUAAGACUCAAACAUUAAGAUGUUUUCUUUCAAAGCUACAUAGCCUCCCAAAAAAUGAUACUGCUAAAGACUAACCCAUUAAGAAGCACCCCCAAGGAAAAGCAGCUCAAUGGUAGCUUAGUUAGCAUGUAUGGGAGACCUGGAUUUGAUCCCCAACACCACCAGAAAAAAUUAAAAUGUCAUUUUUGGAGAUGACUUGAAAACCUUCAAUCUCUGCCCUUCCACAAACCUUAUCGGGAACCUCAAGGGAUGGAUGUGAUUGAUUAGCUUUAUUAAACAAGGAUCAAGAACAGGACUACCAGUCAGGCCAACUGCUUUCUCUUGAACUACUGCAAAGUCAUUUAGGUUUCCUGCUACAUAAAAGUUAAUUAAAAACCAAAAUAGAAAUUUAAUUUUAAGGCACAAAAAACAAAUUUUAAAAGUUUCUGACCUAAUUACUAUUAAGACUUUUAAAAUGCAGAUAUAAAACUCCAUUUCUGAAAAUGUUAAGUAACUUAACUACCUAUCCAUACUCCUAACAUGUACUGUCUUAAGUGAUGCCGAAAAAGCAAUUCUUUGGUACCAUUUCUCAAACUAUCUGAAUGAAAUCAAAUGAGCAAGGUGGUAGGGGAGAGACUGGGGAGAGAUCAGUGUGCUGGGUUUAAUCCCCAGUUUAAAAAGUAAAUGAUCCACAGUAGUUCCGGCACCUGCCUCACAAGUGGAAGGUCCCGAGUUCCAUCCCCGGUACCAAAAAAAAAAAAAAAAAAAAAGGUAAAUGAUCUAGUCCAGGAGAGUGGUGCAUGACUCUAGCCCUAACAACCCAGAAGGCAGGGGUCACAAGGAUGGUUUGAAGCUAUAAGUCUGAUGCCAGCCUGGGAAACAUGGUAAACUGUCUCCAAAAAACCUUUCAAACCUAAAUUAUAUGAACAUUUUUUUUUAAAUGCAAGUAUGUUCCAGCAACAGAAUACAACAUUUACCAUAUCCUAAAGCCUACACUAAUGGUAUAAAAGAGAAGCAACUGAAGUCCUGGCGAAGAAACCAGGAAACCACAACUAAUGACUAGAUGGAUACCAGAUACAUGAAAAAUUAAGACAACGAACAGUACUCUAACCAACUUUUUACUACCCCAGAGGGGAAGGGUUAACAUAUGCAGACCCUCAUCAAUUCUAACUACAAACAACAAAUUCCACAAUCGUCAAUCAACUUUAGGAAAAGUCAAACGGGCUAACAGAGAAGGGAGCAAGUCAGAACAGACCAUUUCAAAAUCACAAUAAUCCCCCUCCUGUUUUUGAUACAAUCAAUGAUCCAACCAUUUGAGAAGUUAAAAACAAAAAAAUGUGAAAAUGCUUUCCUAAAAUUUAAACAGAAAGGAAUGGGGGAAAAUAUCCAAAUCAAUCAAACAGAAACCCUAAGAAUGGACGGAAAUAGAACACUGAACUCCCCUAAGAAAUGGCCCAGAAAUGGAGAACAGACCCAAUCAGCCCUGAAGGAGAAGCGAAAAACUCACGAACUAAAAAUUUCAGAAAAGGUUAUCCAAGAGAGCACACUAAAACAGCAAUGGAGUAGGCACAAAGUAAGGUAUAUACUUAUAAGGGAAAAAAAUUCAGCUGAAAAGGGUAGCACUGGGUUUGUAGCAAAAGAAACAAACUUUCAAGCCUAAGAACUUCAAAAACAUUUCUCUCACGUAUUUAUACCAGGAGUUAUAUAAGCUUAAGUAGAACAGGUAAAUGUUAAGUAUCAGCCUCUGAAUGUUUUCAUGUAACAGACAAGUCUUUUUACUCCCAUACGUGGAAGAUAUACUACUUCUUAGGCAAAUUGAGGAAGUCACCAAAAUCAUUUUGUUCUUGAUUCAGCUGAUUGUUCCAGGCGGCUUCAACAUGCCAGAUUUCCUUUGGAUGGCAAGGUUAGGUAGAUGGGCAGUCUUAGCAUGACAUGGAAUACACUGCAUAAAUACUGGUUACUAAGGCGAGGUAGACAUGCAGGCACACUAAAUCCUCAUGAUAACUGGUUAACCAGGGCUGGGAAUGUACUUAGUGGAAGAGCACUUGCCUAGCAUACAUGAUACCCUGGGUUCCAUUCUAGCAACCAUAAAAAACUUAGAAGACUAGGCAAAGACAGUUUUCAUGAGAUUGUAGAAUACUACUUAACAUUUUAAAGUAUAUAAUUUUUGACAAAAGAAUGUCAAAUAAGUAAAUAGAAACAGUGUUACUUUAUUAAAAUACUGAGUUUAUUUCACAUGUAUAUUUUUGUCUCCCCACCAUCUCCAUCUCUGACCACCACUACUACUAUGUCCUAUCAUAACAUUCCAUACAUACUUAAAACCAAGCAAAGGGUGGAGUUCCAUCUUUAAAAACUAAACAGGCAUUUUGGACAACACAUUCUUGGCAAUGGAACCUGGACAACAUUUAUCAAACACGGGAGGGAAAGUUCUCACUUUGCAUUAUAAAAAAGGAUAGCCAGAUAUCAACUGUUACAGAAAUGAAGAUGACGGAAAAUUUUAACAAAUUGUUUAAAUUGUUUUCUUAAAGAGAUUUCCUCCACUGCCAGAGAUCUUGAAUAGCCUGGGAGAGAAAAAAAACACCUU